rnacentral:tRNA from 1 species
UAUACUUAAGUGUAAGAUGCACAGAGAAUUUUGAUUUCUUUAGAUUGGUUUAAUUCCAGAAAGUAUAA